UACGGAAGGCAGCAGUGGGGAAUAUUGCACAAUGGGCGCAAGCCUGAUGCAGCCAUGCCGCGUGUAUGAAAAAGGCCUUCGGGUUGUAAAGUACUUUCAGUCGUGAGGAAGGUGUUAAGGUUAAUAACCUUAGCAAUUGACGUUAGCGACAGAAGAAGCACCGGCUAACUCCGUGCCAGCAGCCGCGGUAAUACGGAGGGUGCGAGCGUUAAUCGGAAUUACUGGGCGUAAAGGGCACGCAGGCGGUUAAUUAAGUUGGAUGUGAAAUCCCCGGGCUUAACCUGGGAAUGGCAUUCAAGACUGGUUAGCUAGAGUCUUGUAGAGGGGGUAGAAUUCCAUGUGUAGCGGUGAAAUGCGUAGAGAUGUGGAGGAAUACCGGGUGGCGAAGGCGGCCCCUGGGACAAAGACUGACGCUCAUGUGCGAAAGCGUGGGGAGCAAAACAGGGAAUUAGAUACC
rnacentral:rRNA from 1 species